UGAGGAAUAUUGGUCAAUGGACGCAAGUCUGAACCAGCCAAGUAGCGUGCAGGAUGACGGCCCUAUGGGUUGUAAACUGCUUUUAUAUGGGGAUAAAGUGGGGAACGUGUUCCCUUUUGCAGGUACCAUAUGAAUAAGGACCGGCUAAUUCCGUGCCAGCAGCCGCGGUAAUACGGUAGGUUCGGGCGUUAUCCGGAUUUAUUGGGUUUAAAGGGAGCGUAGGCCGUUUGGUAAGCGUGUUGUGAAAUGUAGGAGCUCAACUUCUAGAUUGCAGCGCGAACUGUCAGACUUGAGUGCGCACAACGUAGGCGGAAUUCAUGGUGUAGCGGUGAAAUGCUUAGAUAUCAUGAAGAACUCCGAUUGCGAAGGCAGCUUACGGGAGCGCAACUGACGCUGAAGCUCGAAGGUGCGGGUAUCGAACAGG
rnacentral:rRNA from 1 species